rnacentral:rRNA from 1 species
AGGACGAACGCUGGCGGCAGGCCUAACACAUGCAAGUCGAACGCACCGCAAGGUGAGUGGCAGACGGGUGAGUAACGCGUGGGAACCUACCCUUUGGUACGGAACAUACCAGGGAAACCUGGGGUAAUACCGUAUGAGCCCUUCGGGGGAAAGAUUUAUCGCCAUUGGAUGGGGCCCGCGUCGGAUUAGCUAGUUGGUGAGGUAACGGCUCACCAAGGCGACGAUCCGUAGCUGGUCUGAGAGGACGAUCAGCCACACUGGGACUGAGACACGGCCCAGACUCCUACGGGAGGCAGCAGUGGGGAAUAUGGUCAAUGGGCGAAAGCCUGAACCAGCCAUGCCGCGUGAGUGGUGAAGGCCUUAGGGUUGUAAAGCUCUUUCGGCGGGGAAGAUAAUGACGGUACCCGACAGGAAGAACGCCCCGGCUAACUUCGUGCCAGCAGGCCGC